AGGCUCAGAGGCUCCAUCGUCGAGGUGGCCAACGACACCUGGGCGAAGGGAAGGGCAAUGGUCAGCUCCCGCUCAAGUCUCAACUCGAGCGCCUGGGACGCAUAGGGCCCAAUCGCCAGGGUCGCUCGGUUCGUGCCGGCCUGAAUCCAUUGAGCGAGAGCCCACCUCUGGCGAAACCUUCACUAGGCUCCUGGGCCUCUUAUUCAAGUGGCCCGGGCCAAACCCCAGCCCCGAUUGCAUCCUCAGCCGAGUCAACCAGAUCAUUUAGGGGUUUGAAGCUCGACUCGGCUCAGUGACUCACCUGAGUCGCCCCAACACUGUCACACAAGUCAGCUCCAUCGUCGGCCGGCCAGUCCUUUGGGGGGAGCAACGACGCGCCACUUUCAUCGGCUUCUACCACCCGUCGGAGUCCGGCAGCAAACCGGGGAAGCUCAGGUGGAUAAAGGGGGAACACGGCCGAGAGGAAGACGAGGCCAACCCUGACAAUUAUGGGGUUGACUUGGUCAUCUUUCUCGGCCAUGGUGGCCGGAUCUUCGACAUCGCUAACCAAGGGUCGAAGAUCAAUCCUUGGUCUAACACAUCGUACUAGAGUCCAGCUCACCGCCGACCCCUGAGUCACCACCCACCUCAACCACCAUAAGAGCCGGAGAUUGCGGCCAAUCCUGUGCUUUCACCACCUCCGCUACCAACUCCGGCACUGGAAACUUGUAGUUGACCUUGACUUGCCCAAUUCGCCCAUACCAAUAGCAAAAAUUGAAAACAUUGUCAUACACAAAAGGCUGCCAUAAAACCUUGUUUUUG
rnacentral:lncRNA from 1 species